GGGUGCGAUCAAACCAGCACUAAAGCACCGGAUCCCAUCACAAUUCCGAAGUUAAGCGUGCUUGGGCGAGAGUUCGUAUAACUUCGGAUAAUGCAUGCU
rnacentral:rRNA from 1 species